CCCCCCCUUUUUGCUCUUGCUCCCCCCGCCCCACCUCACCCCGCCUUUCUCCUUUUGCAAGAAAAUAAUUUGACAGUCGAUUUGCUGACAGGGGAAGAAUUUGCAUCCUGGAUUAAAAAAAAAAAAGGCCGAGAGGAGCUUGGGAACGGUUGCUAGGGGUGGGUAAUGGUGAAGAAGGAGGGGGUACCGAGGAUCGGCUGAGGGAGGGGGCGAGGGUGGGGAGCCAUGCAAAAGGUAAGGCCAGGUUGCCGCGGCUCGGCCCCGUGUGGGCUGCGGCCGGGGGAGGGGCGAGAGAUGCAUAUGUAUUUCGGGCUCCCCAGCACACCCCCUUCCCUCCCAGCGAUGGCUGAGGCGGUGCAUGCAGACGGGGAGUAAGUUUCCUGAAGGGGCGGGCGGCUGCACGCGCGCAGCCCGGCGCUGCGAAUUUGCACCCGGGAGGGAGAGUGGUGGAUGCGGAGAGUUUAGAGUUGCUGGCGGAGGGCAGGAGGGGAGCCGGGCGGGGAACGGGGGCUGGCGGGCGCUAUAGCUGGGAGUAAGUUUCCAGGAUCGGGAGAGCCUGCACGCUAGCUCGCUACCCCACCGGCCCCCUGUCGCACCCCCCAAGCGGAGACUGGGCUUCCUGUCUUUUUGCCAUGCACUUGUUGCAGAAGCAGCCAAGACCUGCACCUACAUCCCCACAAGCACAACACUGCUUCCUCAGGUCUCCUUGGGUCCGGAGACCUGGUUAAAUGCAAAUUCAGGUCCUGCUGAUGCUGCGUUUCCAGCCACUUGCAGGUGGGAAGGAAAUGGCACCUGCCCCUCCUCCAGCCUUACGUACCACAUGUCCAGGGUCCAGUGAACCUGUCACCGUUACGAGCCUGAUGCUUUUAACUAGUGUAGUAGGGGCCACACCACUGUCCUUUAAUGUGGUGAAGACGCAGUGCUCUCCCCUCUUCUUUGGUUUGGCUUUCUUGGCGCCCACACACUUUCCAGAGAGGGCUGCAGAAUUUCCCUGGGUGCGUUUGGCUGGGGGAGCAACUGUCUUAGUACAGCGUGGCUGCCCAGCCUGUGCUAAGGUAGCCAAGUGUGUGGGUUCAUCCAGGUGAGCCGAGGGUGAUGGGAGUGAUGAGGAUGAUGGGACAUGAGGAGGCACAAGGCUGCGACUCUCCCUGUGCUGGGGUCCCCUCCGUUCAAGCAGGGUGGUGUUGCCCUGGGCAGUGGGAAGCCUGCUCUCCGACCUUGGUCCUCCGGGGUCUCCAGCCUCAUCACCUACUUUCUCUGGCCAUGUCCACCCUCAACUCUGACACUCACCCCCGGUCUGAGGAAGUAGAAGCUCAGAGCCUUUCCGCCCAGGAUGCUGGGCUCAGACCCAGUUCUGGCUUUGACAUGCUAGCAGAGCCUCUUGUCUUGUUCCUGUGUCCCGUUUCCUUCUCCGAG
rnacentral:lncRNA from 1 species